GAUAAACGCUGGCGGCGUGCCUAAUGCAUGCAAGUCGAACGGAUAGUAGCAAUACUAUUAGUGGCAAACGGGUGAGUAACACGUGGGAAUCUGCCUUGAAGUGGGGAAUAACUGCUCGAAAGAGUAGCUAAUACCGCAUGUGGUUAUCUGCAAAGAUAACUAAAGCUCCGCAAGGGGUGCUUUAAGAGGAGCCUGCGACUGAUUAGCUAGUUGGUGGGGUAAAGGCNCACCAAGGCUGUGAUCAGUAGCUGGUCUGAGAGGAUGGUCAGCCACACUGGGACU
rnacentral:rRNA from 1 species